rnacentral:tRNA from 2 species
GGCUCUGUAGUGAAGUUCAUGGUGAGUUGCAAGCUCAUCGAUGUGCACUGACUGUGUACCGGGGCCU